GUCACCGUACGCGGCUCCAUGACGCGGUCACGUCACGUCACGUCACGUGUACGCCGCACGUUUAGCGUUUUGAUUGACGCACAGACGAAUAGAGGAAACAACUUCAGAAACUGAGCUGAAAAUGCUAAAACGCGUUUGUGUUUUUCCAGCUAAUUAUGCAAGAAUUCACUCCUAGUGUUUAUAGACUAGAAAGAGAAGAGCAGCGAGAGGAUUUCUUUGGUGGGACACCUGGAACACAGCUGCUUUUCCCUCAACGGCCACAAGGGGCAACAAUGAGCCCAUCCCACAUUUGAAUACAAACCACGACAAGCAACACAAAGACUCUCUUCCAGGGAAAAUUCCCCUUUUCUCCGUUUCCCAUCGGCUGGCUGGUAACUCAAAAAGACGCACUUUAUUACACGUUGGAGGUUCCAGGCAGCAGUAGACAGCAUGAAGGAGACAACGUGGCUUCAGCCUAAGAUGUGUUGCUCUUCAUCCUGAUCAUGUUGCACUCCACGCAAACCACUACAGAUCACGGGUCAGAUGCAGAUGACCCCGAAUCCCAGUCUGACACCUACACGACGAGUCUUCUGGGUCCAAGCGUCCAGGUGUCAGCGCGGGUCCGGAGCUCAGCACUCGUCUUCUGCUUCUCUGAUGGGUGGAAUCAAGCUGCUCGUGGAUUUAUACUGACUGACUUGGUUGAUGGCGAGCGUAUUCACAGGCUUGAUCUGUAUGGUCCUCAGGCCCUUCCUUCACAUUUUAACCAAGAUGGCAUCAUCUCAAACUGGAAAAGUUUUAAUUACUUGGAGUAGGCCCUGUGUGUGCAGAUAAGAACACUACAGUGAAAUCAGCACUGACUUUUUAAAUGGUGAAAAAAAACUUAACUAGGUGAGCCUAAAUAACUCAAAUGAUCCUUUAAACUAUAUUCAAUAAAGCUUAGAU